UCAUUUCAAAUUACUUUUAAUUUCUGAUAAACUGUCAGCUAUUUGAGCCAUGUUUAGAAUAUCAGAUUAUGUCCCCAAGUAGUCAAUUUCCCUACUGUCUUCACACAAAGGUAAGCCAAAUACAGGGCUGCAAGUUUCUGGUAUGAACUCUGACUUGAUCACCUCUGUUUCUAAUUUAUUGCCUUCAUUCAGAAUCUCUUCAUUGCUACCCUUUUCAGUUAACUUUCUAAGUCUCUGCAACUACAAAGAUAAAGAAAAUUCUAGUAUUAGUCAACUGUUGUUUUGUUCUCAAUUCAAGCCUUGUCUCUGCCUCAAACAUGUGUUCUAGUUAUCGAAUCCGCUCAUCGUUGAAUCUUCUUCUCAUGUUGUCCUUGCAAUUCUUAAUACUUGACAUAGCGUGCAGAUUUAGAUCCUUUCCUACUGACUUAUUGACUUAAGUUGUAGUUAUUGAUUUUCACUGAGUAGAUUUGUAGUUGUAAUUUCGUAUAUUAUAAUACCAUUUGUUUACCACAAGUUGGAAGUAGCUCCGAAGUAAAUGUGGUUCGCUUCUCUCCAUUUGGUGAUCCAGCCUUGUUUUUAUUACAUUCUUUUGCAAUUAAGAGGACAACUUUGGUUUUGUAAAAAGCUUGAUCUUCUAUGGAUUUUUUGACGAUGUCCUGACAAAUAAUUCUUGUUUAAUGUCUCAUCUUUUUUUGCAGGCACCAGAUUUAGAAGCGGAUCUCCACGAAUCGAGCCAAAAAGAUUAUCAUACAUGUACAAUUAGUAAUUGUAUUAGGAUCAACUAUGGUUUUAGUUUUGGGUCGUCAAAAUAAUUCUUUGAAACUUUAAUAUAUUAGAUGAUGUAAUUGUAAAGUACUUUCUUUAUACAAUGAAUAUCUUUGAUGUUUAAUUCUUUAUAUUUCUAUUAGAUUUAUUGCUCCAUAAUAUAUUAUACAAGAUUAGAAGCAUAAGGUGUAGUAAAUAUGAUGUAAAUGUGGAAUGAAGAAAUUACUAAUAUCAGGUGCCAUAAUAGUCAGCUCACUUUGGGACAUUCUUUCCGAUUGCGGCGGUUCCAAAACGCCGUA
rnacentral:lncRNA from 1 species